UACGAAGGGGGCUAGCGUUGUUCGGAAUUACUGGGCGUAAAGGGCGCGUAGGUGGCUUUGAUAGUCGGGUGUGAAAUGCCUGGGCUUAACCCAGGAACUGCACUCGAAACUCCAAGGCUUGAGUGUGGGAGAGGUUGGUGGAAUUCCCAGUGUAGAGGUGAAAUUCGUAGAUAUUGGGAAGAACACCGGUGGCGAAGGCGGCCAACUGGACCACAACUGACACUGAGGCGCGAAAGUGUGGGGAGCAAACAGG
rnacentral:rRNA from 1 species